rnacentral:rRNA from 1 species
UACGUAGGGACCGAGCGUUGUCCGGAAUCAUUGGGCGGAAAGAGCGUGUAGGCGGCUUGUUAAGUCUUGCGUGAAAUCUCGGGGCUCAACCCCGAGCGGUCGUGAGAAACUGGCAGGCUAGAGUGCGGGAGAGGAGAGUGGAAUUCCUGGUGUAGCGGUGAAAUGCGCAGAUAUCAGGAAGAACACCCGUGGCGAAGGCGGCUCUCUGGAACGCAACUGACGCUGAGACGCGAAAGCGUGGGGAGCAAACAGG